ACUCGAGUACAGGAAUCUAGCAAUAGGAUAAUUCACAGCUCAGGCUGGCCAGUCCCAAGAGUAACUCACCUAUAUUUGAGAUUGUAACGACCCCACCUCUCCCUAAGGCGAACCAGAGGGUUCGGCGGGCCGCCUGCCCAGCUCUCGCCGGGACUCAGUCGCUCACUACAGUCCUCAACCCAAUUACAAUAUAAAACUCAAAAUUUCAUCAAAUUCUCCAAUGAUUACAUAUUUCAAAUGCAGCGGAAACUGAUUCCAAUCGUGGAACGUAUACUUACAUCCAUAUCAAUUUCAAAUAUUUAUACAAGACCAACUCGUACACAAAAUAGAUCCAAACUUAAACUGUACACGAUAUAAGCCAUCCAGUCACGUGAAUAAGCACUCCCAGCUUUUCUUUGCCUUGAGCCCUGUGAGGAGGGGAAUAAAACAUUUUUGGGGUGAGCUAAAAGCUCAGCGAGUAACCAUUAAAAUCAGUAAUCAAAUCGGUUUCACAAUAGUUCAUUUCAAUGAUGUCAUAUAUCAAAUGAUAAAUCCAGAAACUACUACAACAUUUGCAAAACAGUAAAUAUGGAUUAUCAAUAAUUCAAGAAACAUUUACAAUGGAAAGCGAUAGUAACAUUCAUGAAAGGAUACAUUCAUUCUCCUGACAUUUCCUCGCUCAUUUUAUCAUUUAUUUCAUUUCAUUCACCCCGUCGCUGGCUUUUGGCCAGGCUCCACCAACCUACAUAGGUAAUACUCGAGUAUACCAAACGUUCACCCAAGUUCCUAAUCGCCUGACCGAGUCCGCUUCUGGCUCAAGACGACCGGUAACAAGGGGCAAUGGCCAGUUCAGCCCAAAAGGCUUACAUUCAUGCGCAAGUAAUAUUUCAAUCGAAAAUUUCACAUUUAUCGAGGUCGAGUGCGAUAAAGUACACACUCGCCCCGAAAACUCGUUUUGGAAAUCAUUAUAAGCGCUUAACACGUUAUCAACCAAAAUACAAGUCAUGAAGUCAAGAAAUAUAGCAAACAAGGCACACUCACAUGCCAGCACGCAUGAUAUGCAAGAAAACAUUUCAAAAGUAACUUUGGAAACAGUUCAAGAGUAAAUAAUGUAAGAAACGGUUCAUAAAUAACUUUAGAAAUAGUUUGAGGUCACUCACCUCCAUGGCUCAGAAAUCAUCCAUCAUAUAACAUUGCCUUGCUCAAAUCCAAGUCUUAGAUCACAAACUCAAUGCAAACAAGUCCUUUAAAACUUCGGACAGCACUUCCCCUGAAUUUGCUUACUUUCCCAGCCAUCAUGGCUUCAUUAUUUCUUCAGCCAGUCCCAAAGGUACACACACAACAACAAGUUCAUCCAAUAGCUAUUCAACAAGCUCCAAGUAGUACUAGUACAAGUCAAGCUAGGAAAAGUCCGGAAAUGAAGGUUAAGCUCAAAACCAGAAAAACAGUUUUGACGUCAUUUUGCGGUAAUGGUACCAAAUGCGUUACGAUUGUCGGAUGAAGGUGCAAGACACACCGUUUCGAAGCUAGGAGAUAGGGCUACAAUAUUACAGAAGGUCACUCAACCCAGUUUUGAGUGCAAACAGGUCAAAAAUGCAGAAUACCAACCCAGAACCGUAAUUGCAGGUUCCCAAAUUGCACUAUGCUGUAAUGAACACAACUCAGUCUAUACAGGUCCAAAUGCCGAAAUUCCAAAGGCAUAUGUAAGCUAAGACAUCCAGAUACAUUUCAUCAGAAGACACCAACUUCAAAAUCCAAACCAAUUCCAGUCAAAACAAAAGAUUACAAGCGCAGUUUUCGCAUUCUGAUCAACCCAGAACAGCAACAGUAAAAACGACAUAUCUCACUCUACACUAGUCCAAAUGACCUGAAAUUUUACAGGAACUUCAAACUAAUCAAUACCUACAACUUUCAUGUUUUGAGCAAAGUCCAAUUCGUCCUCUAACAUGGUGCAAUAAAUUCGGGCAGAAAGAAGAACUACAAAACCUAAUUUUUCUGAAAUUUCUUCCAAAACAGAAAUUGAUUGCACUUAAUCACUUUUUCCACCUCCUAGAGUCAUUAAACAUCAUUUCCAAUCAUCAUACAUGACCACAACACCAUGAUCACAUUAAAUCAGAAAAUUCCUCAAAAAAAUAAAAACUUCACCAAUUCAACCAAACUCAAGAAAUAAUCCAUGAAAUUGCAUCUUAUAACACCACUAAUCAUGAAUUGAACAUCAUUAGAGGAAGGAGAGGUGUUCAUCCACCACUCACCUUAGCAAAACAAGAGGGAGAGCUACUUGUCACCUUAGCUUCUCAAACAACUCCACCAAACAACUCACAAACACUAAGUGAAGAGGUUUUAUGGAGAAAUUUGAAGUUUUAACGGUUGGAUCAAGAGAUUGAGCAAGAAAAUGGAAGGCAAAAGUUAAGGGAUUUUCUUUCUUUUCUCCUUAUGUUGCUCGGCCAAGAAGAACC
rnacentral:lncRNA from 1 species